rnacentral:tRNA from 1 species
GGAGCUGUGCCUGAAAAAGGGCUACUUUGAUAGAGUAAAUCAUGGGGGUUAAAUUCCCCCCAGCUCCU